GCAGCAGCCUCUCCCAUGAGGGAGAGUUCACGCUUCGCAGCGGGUUGUGCCGUCCGGGUGGCCCGCGCUACGCAGGCAUGCGAGAAAGGAGAAAUUUUGUGAAACGAAAACACCCCUUGCCUGCUGAGUGAAACUGACCUGCAUGAAAUCAACCUGUCGUUGCAAAGUUUCUGUGGAGAUUGGAAAAUCCCACUCUGAGAGGCAACACACUCGUUUGGUUUGGUCACUCCAAUUCAGCAAUCCCUUUUGAGCCUGAUCAAUGCAGUGCCAGAACCAGGGAGAAAGGUUUUGAUGUUGAUGGUUCUUCCUGGAGCUGGAAACUGGGCUUCCAUGAUGGCUCUCAUAAAUGGCUGGACCAGUGC